UACAGAGGGUGCAAGCGUUAAUCGGAAUUACUGGGCGUAAAGCGCGCGUAGGCGGUUUGGUAAGUCGGAUGUGAAAUCCCCGAGCUCAACUUGGGAAUUGCAUUCGAUACUGCCUGGCUAGAGUGUGGUAGAGGGUAGCGGAAUUCCCGGUGUAGCGGUGAAAUGCGUAGAUAUGUGGAGGAAUACCGAUGGCGAAGGCAGCCCCCUGGGUCGACACUGACGCUCAUGCACGAAAGCAUGGGGAGCGAACAGG
rnacentral:rRNA from 1 species